rnacentral:tRNA from 1 species
GGCGGACUGGCGUAAUGGUUAACGCGCCAGUUUCCGGCGCAAAUUCACUGCAGCCUGUAGCUGGAGAUUCUGGGUUCGAGUCCCAGGUUCGUCG